AACGCACAUUGCACCUCUUGGUAAUCCUUGAGGUAUACUUGUUCGAGCGCCGUUUAAAUUCUAAGGCUUUGCCUUGUGUUGAUGUUUUUAUCGCGAAUAGCGAUUCAUCAAAAAGAAUUGGCGUCUGUUUUUUUAGCCAGAAACGCAGUGAAAAUGCGAAGAAGGCUUAGAAUAAACUGCCUGUUUUUCAUCCGACAGCUUUGCUGUCAGACAAUCCAAAAAAACAUGGCCUCGAAUCAAGUAGGGAUACCCGCUGAACUUAA
rnacentral:misc_RNA from 1 species